CCAUCUUCACCCUCAGCAUCUAUGUUAUCAAUCUCAUCACAGUGUUAGGGUUUUACUUCAUUUUCCCUCUCAUCAAGUUCCUCGUCCAUUUACGCUGUGAUUUCAAUCAAGUUUCACAAAUUAUUAAAAAAAAGAACCAAAGGAUUUCUCAAUCCAAUGGCAAACACUCAACCUUCAUCUGCACCUUCUGGAGAUGAAGUUAAUGAUACAAAUGGAAAUGAGAACUAUCAUGAAACUGAGCUUUUUGAGGACACCUUAGUGAUUGAUGAUAAAUUCACCGAAACUGGGUUGGAAAUUCUCGAUCUGAAUAAUACUGAGAUUGUAGAGGAUUCAGAGCCUGUAGAGGAUAUGAUAACUGGUACAGCAUGUGAGUAUGAGACAGAAGUGGUGCUUGAUAGCGAGGACGAAGAAAUGAAUAAUACAGGCAAAUUGACAGUUGGUGAAAGAUUUCUUCAGGCUAAAAGUAGUCCAGCGGUGAACAAUUCUUCGGUGCUCUUCAAGAAGAGAUUGCCUAAGCUACCGUGUGAGCAAGAUAACUCAAAAUCAAAUGCCACAACUUGUGGGAAAACUGGUACUGGUGACAAAGGAGCUUCAAAUGAUGCUGAGAGCUUUGAUGACAACAACCAUCAAUAUCCACCUGCUAUGUCAUAUGAUGCUCACUCACCAACCGUAGCUGCACUAGGUUUCGUGGAUCAGUACUUGUCAUCAAUAGAUGUGGAUCUAUUUCAAGGAUUUCAAAAUGGAAAGAUUGCUAUGGAGAAGUCACCUCAAGUCUCGAGUGCGAGAGGAUCGAUUAGUCUGGCUAAGAAAGUUAAAGCUCAAACGCAAAAUGAAGAUAAAGACCCAUUCAAAUGGGCUGACAAGGAUCAAAAUUUAAAAGAAGCUGGUAUUUUCUGUAAAAAACUUGAAGCAUCUUUCAAUUUUGGAAGCCAUGGACUGACGUAUAAGAGAAGAAAACAGCAAAAAGGUAGUCGUCUUCAGAACCAAGGAAAAUGUAGUGCAAGUAAUGGAUGUGAUGAGAACCAAGGAAACUAUAGUGAUGAGAAUUUAGUCCAAGAACCAACAAUGGCAAUUGACAAUAAUAACUCUCUCAAAGAGUUGUAUGUUGAGUCGCGUGCCGCAAGAGACGAUGUUGAUAUUUAUUCUAGUGUAGCAGGUACAGAAGACAUGUCUGAUAUUGGCUUAGACACUCAAAUAGCUGCUGAAGCUAUGGGUGCUUUAGCCAAUCUGUCCCCUGUCGGCUUUCAUUUCAGUGAUGCUCACCAACCAAAGAACAUGUUUGAUGCAUCUUUGAGUGAUUUAAAACAAGCUCAUAAGGAAAAUUCUUCAUUUAAAGAGAAUCAUGGUUCACAUUCUAUUGCACUAAAAUCCAACAAGCGAAAUGUAUCUUCCUGUAGGUUCAGCAAAGUAACUUCUAAGUCCUCUAGCGAGCAAACUUACAAUCAAGACUCAAAUCUUGUCUCAGGGAAAAUGAAAAAAAUAAUGGGAAGUAAGUCAACUAUUGAAGGGCAGUUCAAAAAUAAUACCAGUUCAUCAGUAUGCAGUGAAAGUGUAUCACAUAAAGAGGUUUGCUUACUAGAAGAGGAUAUAAGUUUUCAACCUGCUUCCAAAGAGCCCAAAAUCCAGAAUAAGAGCAGAUGGACAAGAAUGACACAUCAACCAAGCCAUCCUAUAGAGAAGAACAAUAAUGUUGAAGAGGAUAUAAUUAGAUAUAAGAGGAAGGGAAAGUGUUUAGUGGCAGAUCCAGUGGUGUCAGACGUUAAGACUAAACGUCUUAAUUUAUCUACUACCUCAUAUGGAGUGGCUAGGAAGAGCAGUUUGAACCACCAGAUUGAAUUUAGUCCGCAGAUAUCAGUUACAAGCAGUUUUUCAAAGAUUGAUUCUUGGGCUUGUCCAAAAGGACCAAGAGGUAAAAGAAAGCGAGCUAAUGCCCCAAGAGUUUUGGGUAUUGAUGAUAAAGAAAACAAUGUCUAUUCCACUAGAAGUUUAGAGGGCCGAAAUGCUGUGCGUAAAUCUCGUCUUCUCCCAGUUUCAGCUGGUGAUGCUAUAAAAUUUGAAAACCUGCAUGAUAUGCGUCCCUUGUUGCUGGCACAUGUUGAAAUAUUAUCAAACAAGAGUGUUGUACAAUCGAGUUCAGAAAUUUCCGCUUCAGUUGGUCCAAGUGAAGGCAUAAAAAUUUCAAAUGCUAACCACACAUGCAAUGAGCACCGCAAAAAAGCAUGUGAGAAAAACCUGCCAAAGUCUUCACUUUUGAAGGAACUUAUCAGAUUAGGUGUUCCCAAAUCCACAUCAGAAAUGAUGAGUAAAGAUUUGAGACAUCGAAGAGAUAUGACAAAUGUUCGAGUUCUGUUUAGUCAACAUUUGGAUGACAAUGUCCUCAAGCAGCAACAGAAGAUCUUGGCGCGUCUUAAUAUAUCUACUGCAUCAAGCUCAAUGGAAGCCACUCAUUUCAUAGCAGACAAGUUUACACGUACAAAGAAUAUGCUGGAAGCAAUGGCUCUUGGUAACUUAGUAUUGACACACUCAUGGCUUGAGAGUUGUGGACAAGCCAACUUUUUGAUUGAUGAGAAAAAUUAUAUUUUGAGGGAUAUGAAAAAGGAAAAGGAAAUAGGCUUUAGCAUGCCAGUUUCUCUUGCUCGAGCAAGACAAAAGCCACUCCUGAAGGGUAAACGAGUCUACAUAACACCACACAUCAAACCUAAUAAGGAAGUGGUUGCAAGCUUGGUUACCGCUGUUCAUGGUCAGCUAGUGGAUGAAAAUCAGAUAUUUGCAGACAAGAAUGAUAAUAUCUUAGAUGAUCUAUUGAUUCUUUCUUGUGAAGAAGACUUUGCAAUAUGCCGCCAUUUCCUUAAGAGAGGAGCUGCUGUUUACAGUUCGGAGCUUGUUCUGAAUGGAAUUAUUAUCCAGAAAUUGGAACUCGAGAGGUAUAACUUGAUAUAUGAGAGCCAUUUAUCCUUCAUAUUGAUGAUAUGAUAUUUAGACAUUUGGAACUCGUGAGGUAUGAUGAUAUAAUAUUUGGAACAUGAUAUAUUAACCUAACUAUACAAAGGCUGCCUUUGAUCUGUACUAUGUAUAGCUAGCUAUCUCACACUAUGAUGAACCUAACAUUUUCAUUCUUGCCAGUUGCCACUCUUGAAGUUGUUGUAUCUGAACUAGGCAUAAACUGUUCGUGAAUAAACUCAGUAGAUGUAAUUGGUUUGGGAAGGUUUACAGAAAGCGUUUGAGUCCUUUAUCUUGAGAAUAGCUGAUUUCUGAGGCAAAUUAUUAUUACUGUGGUUGACUGAAUUGAUAAAAACAAUGGCCCUUUUUUCUCAGAUGUUGACGUACAGAUGCUACUUGGUCAGUUACUUACAAAUGCAACUUAGUCUCCUUUAUGUUGUUUUGAGCCAUGUUCAACUCAAGUGACUCAAUGACGGCAAAUGAUAUCUAUGGAAUGCUCUUUUUUGUAAAAGGAGUCAUUUUAAUGUAAUAUAAGUUGACCAAGGUGUGUAUGGAUUCUGAUGAAUUUAUCUUUAUAGAUAAUGUUUUAUUUUUAUUU